UCCGGUUUGUCACCGGCAGUCUCGCAUGAGUCCCCAACUAAAUGCUGGCAACAUGCGACAGGGGUUGCGCUCGUUGCGGGACUUAACCCAACAUCUCACGACACGAGCUGACGACAACCAUGCACCACCUGUACAGGGCCCUUGCGGACCUCAUAUCUCUAUGAGAUUUCCCUGCAUGUCAAGCCCAGGUAAGGUUCCUCGCGUUGCAUCGAAUUAAGCCACAUGCUCCACCGCUUGUGCGGGCCCCCGUCAAUUCCUUUGAGUUUCAUCGUUGCCGACGUACUCCCCAGGUGGCAUACUUACUGCGUUAACUGCGGCACCGGCCCCAACGGGCCAACACCUAGUAUGCAUCGUUUACAGCGUGGACUAC
rnacentral:misc_RNA from 1 species